UAUAACAAUAGCUACAUACAUACAUGAUGCAAAAUGGAUCCAAUGAAGUACCAAAAAUUGAUUGGAUUAUAAAACAAAGCAUUACUGCAAAUGAUUUGGUUUUGUCCAAAGAAGUUAAAAAAAAAAUAAAAAAUUCAUGAUGAUAAAGGGAAGUUGUCAAAUCUCAAAAUACAAAAACAAAAAAAAAAGGAAGAAGAAAUGUGAUUAGUGAAACCUUCUAAGGCAAGAAUAUGGGGUAGUGGAACGGACGGUGACGAAAGAGAUCCAGC
rnacentral:lncRNA from 1 species